GGGAUUGUGGCUCAGUGGUAGAAUGCUCACCUAGCAUGUGUGAGGCACUGGGUUCUAUACUCAGCAUCCCA
rnacentral:tRNA from 1 species